rnacentral:miRNA from 1 species
UGUCCAGUAGCACCUUAGAGACCAACUAAGUUUGUUCUGGGUAUAAGCUUUUGUAUGCAUGCACACGUCUUCAGAUACACAGUGUGCGUGCACACAAAAGCUUAUAUCCAGAACAAACUUAGUUGGUCUCUAUGGUGCUACUGGACA